AAAAGUAAUAUGUUAUUAAUGGUUGCGGUUAGGACGUUGAUCGGCUUUAUCGAUUAUAUGCAUCAAUCUUUUCAAAGGAUCUCCUCAAUUUGUCUAAGUUCCUUGUUGGUCAUUUCUUUUAUGUGAACAUUCUAAUGCUUUUCAUUGAUUGUGACGCGUGAACGAAUGACAUGAGAUGAUGGAAGAACCGAACCAUGGAAGGAUUGAAGAACGUUCGAGAUCUUCAUGUGUUCCUAUUAGGAUUAGGGGAUUGAUGCCUCUUGUGAAUGCCUUCAAUUGGAAGGCUUGCCACUGAUUAUCAAAGGACACCAGGAUGAUUGGACUGUAUAGCUUACAGUGAAGAGACACCAAGGACAUGCUGGCGAGUGUCUAGAUUACGGUGGAAGAUUGGAUGGCCGAGAAGAUCUGAGGAACAUUGGGCCAUGAUUGGUUCGCUCGGAUAGAGAACUUCCUUAGGAUGAUGUGGCCGCAAAUUGAUGGAUGCCAAGAGAAAAAACACUAGAACACGUCCUUAAGAUCAACGCCAGGAGGAGGGGCCACCGUGAAGAACAUCGCAAAGGGAAUGCAGGAGGGAGACUAAAACGAGAAAACCUCCGUCGCAAGAAGAUUUCGCCGAGAGGGAACCUGCGGGAGAGCCGAAAAAUAAGAACACUAGUGAGCGAGUGAUGAGCAAAUUCUCGAGUUCCUGUCUCAGUCCCGCCUGGGCGGUGGCUCGAACUGGCUUACACCACGAGCUGGAUUCUGUCUUGGUGUGGUGCCCGGUUAUUAGACGUCAGAUGAAGGCCCAGAGUCGGAGCUGCAAUGGAUCAUAGUGUUGAUCGCGGAAGGGGCCACCUACAGUGGACCGCCUGAUAGAAUGAUACCGUCGGAAGCGGUGCUCGCGGAUCGUGGUGCUUACGGAUGACAGUACUUUUGGAUGAUGAAACGCAGCAGUAAACCGCCAAAGUGGAUCUCCAGGAUGAGGAGGGCGGACGAGACCGCGGACACUAGAGACACAGCUUGCUCAGCCUGAGAGUGUGUGUUCAUCGUGAGUUUUUUCCUCUCCCAUUAGUGUCGCACUCUCUGCCUUUUAACACCCGCGUACAAGCAUCUAUAUAUGUCAAAAAAUCUGCUUCCUCAAUCUCCGGGAUUCGCAAUCCUUGUCAAGGCAAGACUGGCUGGCCUUAAUCUCCCCUCGUUUCCUUUCUCAUUCACCUUCUCUUUUCCUUAAACACCUCCUCACAUCUUCGGAAACGGGAGACUGAUUUGGAUUUGAUUUUGACCACUUUAGAGAGUUCUUUAUUUGUUGUUA